rnacentral:rRNA from 1 species
UAGUCCACGCCGUAAACGAUGUCUGCUAGCCGUCGGGGCACUUAGUGUUUCGGUGGCGCCGCUAACGCAUUAAGCAGACCGCCUGGGGAGUACGGUCGCAAGAUUAAAACUCAAAGGAAUUGACGGGGACCCGCACAAGCGGUGGAGCAUGUGGUUUAAUUCGACGCAACGCGCAAAACCUUACCUGGGUUUAAACUGCAGUGGACCGGUACAGAGAUGUACCUUUCCUUCGGGACUGCUGUAGAGGUGCUGCAUGGCUGUCGUCAGCUCGUGUCGUGAGAUGUUGGGUUAAGUCCCGCAACGAGCGCAACCCUUGCCGAUUGUUGCCAGCAUUAAGUUGGGCACGUCUAUCGGGACUGCCGGUGUUAAACCGGAGGAAGGUGGGGAUGACGUCAAGUCCUCAUGGCCCUUACGCCCAGGGCUACACACGUGCUACAAUGGAAGAUACAAAGAGUCGCGAGACUGUGAAGUGGAGCUAAUCUCAAAAAGUCUUCCUCAGUUCGGAUUGUAGUCUGCAA